AACGAACGCUGGCGGCAGGCCUAACACAUGCAAGUCGAACGGACCCUUCGGGGUUAGUGGCGGACGGGUGAGUAACACGUGGGAACGUGCCUUUUGGUUCGGAAUAGCUCCUGGAAACGGGUGGUAAUGCCGAAUGUGCCCUUCGGGGGAAAGAUUUAUCGCCAUUAGAGCGGCCCGCGUCUGAUUAGCUAGUUGGUGAGGUAAAGGCUCACCAAGGCGACGAUCAGUAGCUGGUCUGAGAGGAUGACCAGCCACAUUGGGACUGAGACACGGCCCAAACUCCUACGGGAGGCAGCAGUGGGGAAUCUUGCGCAAUGGGCGAAAGCCUGACGCGGCCAUGCCGCGUGAAUGAUGAAGGUCUUAGGAUUGUAAAAUUCUUUCACCGGGGACGAUAAUGACGGUACCCGGAGAAGGAGCCCCGGCUAACUUCGUGCCAGCCGCCGCGGUAACAC
rnacentral:rRNA from 1 species